rnacentral:rRNA from 1 species
AAAGCCUGAUCCAGCCAUGCCGCGUGUGUGAAGAAGGCCUUUUGGUUGUAAAGCACUUUAAGCGAGGAGGAGGCUACUUGGAUUAAUACUCUAGGAUAGUGGACGUUACUCGCAGAAUAAGCACCGGCUAACUCUGUGCCAGCAGCCGCGGUAAUACAGAGGGUGCGAGCGUUAAUCGGAUUUACUGGGCGUAAAGCGUGCGUAGGCGGCUUCUUAAGUCGGAUGUGAAAUCCCUGAGCUUAACUUAGGAAUUGCAUUCGAUACUGGGAAGCUAGAGUAUGGGAGAGGAUGGUAGAAUUCCAGGUGUAGCGGUGAAAUGCGUAGAGAUCUGGAGGAAUACCGGUGGCGAAGGCGGCCCCCUGGACAAAGACUGACGCUCAGGUGCGAAAGCGUGGGGAGCAAACAGGAUUAGAUACCCUGG